ACAGAUUAAGUUGAUGUCUCCAGUUAAAACAUCUCGGGACUGAAGUGGGCACUGUGACACUUUCGGAACUGGGCUCUGCAGACAUAGGUCGAAAGUGGCUGCGUUGACCUGGUUGCUGGUCAUUUGCAUGGAGCUGCGUUAAGGAGGAGGAAUGUCCAAG